UCAUUGAUGCUGAAACGAUGGUUUCUCCAACAAUUUUUGCCCGUCGUAGUUUGUCUUAUCUCAUGAGUGACAAGCCUCAGGAACCUCUCAACGAUGCAAUGCAAGCACAAGUAGUUUCCCCAGUUUGGCACCUUGUAUCUUAUCUUCAGGGUGCUGCCCUUUCGGCCAUUCAGAUGCUGACAGAUUCUUGCUUGGAAGGACAACUUUCUAAUGAUGAUGGUACUGAGUUGGCACGGUUGGCUUCACAAAGUUUACAAUCUGAACCCUGAGAGCGACCAAAUCCAAAGUCAUUAGUUGCUUCUUUGACUCCUCUUCAGAAAGAGACUGAGGUUAGUUCUCUCCUCUGUUUCUCUAAUUAAGCAUUAUAUUCCCAACUUUACCUGGGGAGCAUAGUUUAACUGUUUAAAAUCUUCACACAAUUGUUUCUAGGUCUAUAUUUUGGGGCAGUCUUGUAAGCAAUAUAUUCAUAUGUUAUCUUCUUUUCACUGGACUCAAUCUGAGCUAUUUGUGUAAGCUCGUAUCUAACUAUUGACCGAUUCAUUAGUUGUAUUAAUACUGAACCUUGUACCAAGCAGAAAUAUUUGAAAACUUGGGAAAAGGACAUGACUUUAAUUUGUUAUUAGUGAGGACUUGAGAGAGCUACACCUUUGUUUAGUGCCUUUCAUGGUGAAUGAUACUCUAUAAAAUAUCAAUCUCUUAUGCCCCAAAUUUGAGGGUAGUUAACUACAAGGGUUUUCAGUGAUACCAUACCUGUUGGGUGCCAAUUAGAAGCACUCUGAUCUACACCAUCGUAGUAGUUUAAUCAUAUAUAGAUAUAGUAGUUUAAUCAUAUAUAGAUGCUUAACAUGAUGCUGGUAGCUGUAUCCUGGACCUCCUUUAUUUCUUUUUGCUUACCUCUGCAGGUUCCUUCUUUUGUUUUGAUGGGUAUCCCACAUGGUACCUUCUGGUCUUCUCUUUCACAACUCGGUGAUGCCUGCUCAAGAAGGGAUUUGACCACUAUACAUGAGAUCCUAGAGAAUAUCGGCUAUAAAGACGAUGGAAUGACAAAUGAGGUUCUUUAUUUUGUUUAAUUAAUGAAGAACUAGCUAAUAAGUUGUGUUGUGUAUAUAUAUAUAUAUAUAGCCUUCUCAAUAGUUACGUUCCACUGCAGUGCUCGUUCAAAUGUGGACUGACCAAAUGCAGGAAUCAUAAGAUUCAAAGAAAAGGGGGGAUUCUGCUUUUAAGCACUAGGACAUCAGAAUCACAAUUGAGUGUCAUUCACAGGUUCUUAUUAUGAUACUUGUGGGAAAUUCUGAGUAGAGGUUUGAUAAGAGUUGCGUUCAUACCGAUCUCCGAAUUUGGCCUUCAAGAGGAUGUUCUUUAUCUGACCUGUUAAAAUAAAUUACCAAACACAGCUUUGUACGGAAUUUUUGUUUGGCAUUAGAUUUCCGUCAGAACACUAUCGUUACAUUUUAUCUUCUGAUUCAUGAUAGGAAGAAUUGAAGAAAUGAAAUUGGUAGUUUAAGAUAUUUUUAAUCAGUCAGGAACGGUGUACAACAACAACAACAACAACAAAGCCUUUUCCCACUAAGUGGGGUCGGCUAUAUGAAUCCUAGAACGCCAUUGCGCUUGGUUUUGUGUCAUGUCCUCCGUUAGAUCCAAGUACUCUUAAGUCUUUUCUUAUAGUCUCUUCCAAAGUUUUCCUAGGUCUUCCUCUACCCCGGAGCGUCAGUAGGCCUUCUUUGCACAUGUCCAAAUCACCGGAACCGAUUUUCUCUCAUCUUUCCUUCAAUUUCGGCUACUCCUACUUUACCUCGGAUAUCCUCAUUCCCAAUCUUAUCCUUUCUCGUGUGCCCACACAUCCCACGAAGCAUCCUCAUCUCCGCUACACCCAUUUUGUGUACGUGUUGAUGCUUCACCGCCCAACAUUCUAUGCCAUAUAACAUCGCUGGCCUUAUUGCCGUUCUAUAAAAAUUUCCCUUGAGCUUCAGUGGCCUACGACGGUCACACAACACGCCGGAUGCAUUCUUACACUUCAUCCAUCCAGCUUGUAUUCUAUGGUUGAGAUCUCCAUCUAAUUCUCCGUUCUCUUGCAAGAUAGAUCCUAGGUAGCGAAAACGGUCGCUUUUUGUGAUCUUCGCUAGAUUGCUACGGUCAUUAGUGUGGAUAAGUAUAUAAAUGGAUAGAGAUAGAAAAGCAAACACAAGAUGUACGUGGUUCACCCAGAUUGGCUACGUCCACGGAAUAGAGGAGUUCUCAUUAAUUGUAAAGGGUUUACACAAGUACAUAGGUUCAAGCUCUCCUUUAGUGAGUACAAGUGAAUGAUUUAGUACAAAUGACAUUAGGAAAUAUUGUGGGAGAAUGAUCUCGUAAUCACGAAACUUCUAAGUAUCGGAGUGUGGUAUCGUCUUGACUUGCCUUAUCUGUCUCAUAGGUAGAUGUGACAUCUUCUCUGGAAGUACUCUUCCUCCAUCCAGGGGUGGUAUCUUUAACUGGUGGAGAUGCACAAGGUAAUGUAUCAAUUUCACUUGAAGCUUACUUGUAGUUUCAGGCUUGGUCAAGCGCGAUACAAACCAUGUAGUAGGAGUCCCCCGAGUCGCCGAGCUAGGGGAUCUGCUGAAAGAGGUGACAGACAAGGUAAGCAAUCAGAACUCCGGCUGAUUGUUCACAUUCUCCCUAUCUUGCAGGCAGCAUGAAGGAUAAAGAGAAGAAAAAUGAGAAGAAAUGAUAUGAGAUACUUUUGCUUUUGAAGAAGUAACUUUCCACAGGCUUAUUCUUGAACUGAGCUGGAGGGUUUUCUGGUUUCCUCCAGAGUAUAAGGCCGAUUGAAGAAUUUGAGGGUCAAAACAAGUCCAUCAAAUCUAGAGUACGUUCGACCCUGCUGAUAUGGGAUACUUUUGCUUUUGAUAGAGUAAUGGAUGUAUCGGCACGUGUGCUGUUACGCUUGUCUCCACAUGCUUCCUUGUAUCCUUCUCACUUGCCCUAUAUGUUCCUCAGGCAGAUGCGGUAUCUUCCCUGGGAGCAUAAGAUGUUGAAGAUGAGUACUCGAGAUGAAUGCCAGGUAAGUAAUCAGGUAAGGGGUUCCAGGCAGUCAGUUCCUAGCUGGAAGCUUGAUUCUAAGUGUUGACUGAUUGCUCUCUUUCUCCUUGUCUUGCAGGUAAGAACAAGGCCAAAGGAAAAGACAGGGAAAAAGCAUGAUAUGGGAUACUCUUGCUUUUAACCCUGAUGAUAUGAGAUAUUCUUGCUCUAGUAUAGCUUGUUUGCAGAGGUAUUAUCGGGGGAAAAGAAAGCUGAAUAUUUCGAAAGGCUUCGUUGGGAGUGCCCUCUCAGAUAUGAGUAAGGGUUGAGCAUUUUUGCAGGUCUGCCUGUCCGUUGGGGAUGAAGGUCGACAUAUAUAGGAGUCUCCCUAACAACAAGUAGUAAUGCUAUUCCUUUACCCUGCUUGGUCAUAGCACGGUAGUUGGAGCUGCCAGCUUCACAUGUUUUAACUCUGUCAGAGCACUUUGAAAAAGUGGUCUGUGGUAUCUGGAAAACUGAUGUUGCGUGUGAAGAUUACAGACAAGCUUUAUCCAAGGAGACCCGGCUCUUGAAGUUGGGAAAAUGGUGCCUCUUCGGUUUUCGAACAAGCAAUCCUAUCGGGGAUCUGGCUCUUGAGAUUCGGAGAACGAUGCCUCUUUGAUUUUUGAGAAAGCAAUCAUGCUGGGGGUCUGGCUCUCGAGAUUCAGAGAGCGGUGUCUCUUCGAUUUUUGAGAAAGUAAUCAUGUUGGGAGUCUGGCUCUCGAGAUUCGGAGGACGGUACCUCUUCGAUUUUGGAGCAAGCAAUCUUGUUGGGAGUGUUUUCUCGAACAUGAGUAAAGGUUGGGCAUGUUUGCUAGUCUACCUUGCCACGAAGCACAGAGGUUGACACACAGGGACUUUCCAAUUAUCCAGCAAUGGUACUGUUCCUUUACCCUCUCUUCGAUUUUUUAGAAAGUAGUCAUGUUGGGAGCCUGGUUCUCGAGAUUCGGAGGACGGUGCCUCUUCGAUUUUGGAGCAAGCAAUCUUGUAAUCUUGUUGGGAGUGUUUUCUCGAAUGUGAGUAAAGGUUGGGCAUGUUUGCUAGUGUACCUUGCCACGAAGCACAGAGGUUGACACACAAGGACUUUCCAAUUAUCCAGCAGUGGUACUGUUCCUUUACCCUUGUGGGUAAUAAUAUGGUAGCUAGACCUUCAAAAUUUAUGUGUUUAAACUUUGUUAGUGCUGUUUCUUUGCUAUUCGUUUACCCUUCUUGGUCAGAGCGAUGUAGUGGGAGCUGCAAGCUUCACGUGCUUAACUUUGGCAGAGAACUUUGGCAAAGUUAUCUGUGGUACCCAUAAGCUACUGUUGCGUGUGAGAAGUGGGUGAUUGAACAGAGAUUCAUGUGCUUUCUACUUCACCAGAAGUCUUCGACAGAAUGCCCAUAAUUUCCGCAAAGCUGAGUGUGCGUGGGACAGGUGCUGACAAGGCUGGAAAAGUAGGUGCCUCUUCGAUUUCUGAGAUCGGCCCUUAUGGUCUCUGAGCAGCCCAGCUAUUGAGAACGCAAGUGCCUCUUCGAUUUCUGAGAUCGGCCUUCGUGGUCUUUGAGCAGCCCAGCUUUUGAGAAAGCAAACGCCUCUUCGAUUUCUGAGAUCAACCCUCGUGGUCUCUGAGCAGCCCAGCUUUUGAGAAAGCAAACGCCUCUUCGAUUUCUGAGAUCAACCCUCGUGGUCUCUAAGCAGCCCAGCUUUUGAGAAAGCAAAUGCCUCUUCGAUUUUUUAGCAGGCGCCUCUUCGAUUUCUGAAGCUCCGUCGAGUGCAGAUUUUUAUAGGGGCUGGCAUUAAGUUCCAAAGCACACUUGAAUCUCCACCAGUAGAAGCUCCAUUUUUGCACUUCUAAGAUCUUGAUUUGUCCGACCUCUUCUCUAUUCAACACCUUUGAAAAUGUCUGGCCCCUCCGACCGUCGUUUUGACUUGAACCUUGUUGAAGAGGCAGCCCCGCCUUCUCCAGACAACAUAUGGCGCCCAUCCUUCGUCUCCCCUACUGGUCCUCUUACCGUUGGGGAUUCCGUGAUGAAGAAUGAUAUGACCGCUGCGGUGGUGGCCAGGAACCUUCUCACUCCCAAAGAUAACAGACUACUUUCCAAACGGUCUGAUGAGUUAGCUGUUAAGGAUUCUCUGGCUCUCAGUGUUCAGUGUGCAGGUUCUGUGUCUAAUAUGGCCCAACGCCUAUUUGCUCGAACCCGUCAAGUUGAAUCAUUGGCGGCUGAAGUGAUGAGUCUCAAACAGGAGAUUAGAGGGCUCAAGCAUGAGAAUAAACAGUUGCACCGGCUCGCCCAUGACUAUGCUACAAACAUAAAGAGGAAGCUUGACCAGAUGAAGGAAUCUGAUGGUCAGGUUUUACUUGAUCAUCAGAGAUUUGUGGGUUUGUUCCAAAGGCAUUUAUUGCCUUCGUCUUCUGGGGCUGUACCGCGUAAUGAAGCUCCAAAUGACCAACCUCUGAUGCCUCCUCCUUCUAAGGUUCUGUCCGGUACUGAGGCUCCGAAUGAUCCCCCUCCGGUGCCUUCUCUUUCUGAGGCUCUACCGACUGCUGAGACUUUUCCUAAGCAACCUUUGUGAAGGCUCCCUCUUGUUUGUUUAUUUUGACUCGUGUAUAUGUACAUAUUUGUAGCUUAUCGGGGAUAUCAAUAAAUAAGCUUUCCUUCAUUUCAACAUAUUGUGUUAAAUACACCAAAGUCUUCUUCGCUAAGUUCUUUGAAUUUUCUUUUGUUGAAGCUUGUAUGUUGAAGUUUUGUGAGUGAAGCAUGUAGGUUGAGGUAGUGUUCCCUUAAUUUCCCGAGUGAGGAAAACUUCUCGGUUUGAGACUUGGAAAAUCCAAGUCACUGAGUGGGAUCGGCUAUAUGAAUCUUAGAACGCCAUUGUGCUCGGUCCUGUGUCAUGUCCUUCGUUAGAUCCAAGUACUCUAAGUCUUUUCUUAGGGUCUCUUCCAAAGUUUUCCAAGGUCUUCCUCUACCCCUUCGGCCCUGAACCUCUGUCCCAUAGUCGCAUCUUUUAAUUGGGGCGUCAGUAGGCCUUCUUUGCACAUGUCCAAACCACCGUAACCGAUUUUCUCUCAUCUUUCCUUCAAUUUCGGCUACUCCUACUUUACCCCGGAUAUCCUCAUUUCUAAUCUUAUCCUUUCUCAUGUGCCCACACAUCCAACGAAGCAUCCUCAUCUCCGCUACACCCAUUUUGUGUACGUGUUGAUACUUCACCGCCCAACAUUUUAUGCCAUACAGCAUCGCCGGCCUUAUUGCCGUCCUAUAAAAUUUUCCCUUGAGCUUCAAUGGCAUACGGCGGUCACACAACACUCCGGAUGCACUUCUCCACUUCAUCCAUCCAGCUUGUAUUCUAUGGUUGAGAUCUCUAUCUAAUUCUCCGUUCUUUUGCAAGAUAGAUCCUAGGUAACGAAAACGGUCGCUCUUUGGUAUUUCUUGAUCUCCGAUCCUCACCCUAACUCGUUUUGGCCUCCAUUCGCACUGAACUUGCACUCCAUAUAUUCUGUCUUUGAUCGGCUUAGGCGAAGACCUUUAGAUUCCAACACUUCUCUCCAAAGGUUAAGCUUUGCAUUUACCCCUUCCUGAGUUUCAUUUAUCAACACUAUAUCGUAUGCGAAAAGCAUACACCAAGGAAUAUCAUCUUGAAUAUGUCCUGUUAACUCAUCCAUUACCAACGCAAAAAGGUAAGGACUUAAGGACGAGCCUUGAUGUAAUCCUACAGUUAUGGGAAAGCUUUCGGUUUGUCCUUCAUGAGUUCUUACGGCAGUCUUUGCUCCUUCAUACAUAUCUUUUAUAGCUUGGAUAUAUGCUACUCGUACUCCUUUCUUCUCUAAAAUCCUCCAAAGAAUGUCUCUUGGGACCCUAUCAUACGCUUUUUCCAAAUCUAUAAAGACCAUGUGUAAAUCAUUUUUCCCAUCUCUAUAUCUUUCCAUCAAUCUUCGUAAGAGAUAGAUUGCCUCCAUGGUUGAGUGUCCUGGCAUGAACCCGAAUUGGUUGUCUGAAACCCGUGUCUCUUGCCUCAAUCUAUGCUCAAUGACUCUCUCCCAGAGCUUCAUUGUAUGACUCAUUAGCUUAAUACCCUUAUAGUUCAUGAAAUUUUGUACGUCGCCCUUAUUCUUGUAGAUAGGCACCAAGUCUCCAAGGUCUUCCCAAAAUUUCUCCUUCGAACUCGUAUCCAACCCUACUUGAGGUGCGUACGCACUAAUCACAUUGAUAAGUUCUUGUCCAAUUACAAUCUUGAUUGCCAUGAUUCUAUCUCCUACCCUCUUGACAUCUACAACAUCUUGUGUCAAGGUCUUGUCCACGAUGAUGCCAACACCGUUUCUCGUUCUAUUUGUGCCCGAAUACCAAAGUUUAAACCCUGAGUUUUCUAGAUCCUUUGCCUUACGACCAACCCACUUAGUUUCUUGUAGGCACAUAAUAUUUAUCCUUCUCCUCACCAUAACUUCCACUACUUCCAUAGAUUUUCCCGUUAAGGUUCCUAUAUUCCACGUUCCUAAACGCAUUUUGCUCUCUUGAACUCUACCAUUCUGUCCUAACUUCUUCACUCUCCCUCGUCUAAUAGGAUCAAAGUACUUCUUUUGUGUGUCCCUGCUUUCUCCGCAUUUGUUAUCGUUGCUAGCAGUUCUAUUUCGCUUGCAGUUCAUUGGAGUUGGAACAAUGGUUUCUCUAACAAUUUUUGACCGGCGUAGUUUGUCUUAUCUCAUGAGUGACAAGCCCCAGGAAGCUAUAAAAGAUGCAAUGCAAGCACAAGUAGUUUCCCCAGUUUGGCACAUUGCAUGUUAUCUUCAAGCUGUUGCCCUUUCGGCCCUUGGAAUGGAUGGUGAAAUUGAAGCAGGACUUAAGGAGGGUACUAUGCUUGAAUCCAAAAUGAGCAAAGCAGCUGGAUAGAAGUGAAACUCUAGGCCGCUCGACCAGGUGCCUAGCUUGCCACUUCUCUCGGUCUGGCUCUCAGCUUAUAUAGCCGUCGAUCGAUCAUAAGGUUUAAAACCACUAGAGCCAAAGCUUCAUCAUUUCCACGGUAUUAGAUUUUGUCAUUUUCCAGCAGCAUAUAUUGUAUUUGAAUUGUUUAUUUGAUUUGAUUUCCCGUGCGUCAAAUGAUUCGAGUAUAUGAAUUACUUUGACAAAAUAGAAAGAAAAAAUAGAAAGUUGUAAAAAAAAACACUGGUAGGGAGGAUGUCAUUCAUAAGCUUGUAAUUUGUGUGCAGAAAGCAUAUAGGAUUCCUGGUGUAUCAUUUCUAAUGAAAAAUAAUAGUAAUUAGUUUGUUAAACGUCGUCUGAUCAUUGAUAGACAUAUGCACAAGACUGCAACCAAUCCAUUGAACUAAAAUUUACGAUGAACAAAACAAUCAUAUGCAGUCCUGAAUUAACUGAAUAUCUUUAGUUUAUAUCAUGAAUCAAAACAUAUACUGCAGAAAGGUCUUGAUAACGUAAACACAAACAUAAACUUCUUACAAACAAUUAACACUAACAAAUCAUCUGUCAAUGAGAUUUAGUAGUAAAGUUCUUUAUUAUGACAACUCAAUACUUUGAAAACUUGUACAGAUAAUGGUCCGUGGAAGCUCUUUCAGUGAAGUGAAGCCGUCUACACUGUCUCAGAAGAUGCUGUAGAUUAAAAUAAACAAGCACAUGUAGUUAAGUUUGAAGAAGACAGUGAAAUUAAUCCGAAUGACUUUACGAAUAGAUGCAUGCAUAUUGCUUAAUUUAAGAAAGACAAAUAAAAUCACAUUUACAUACCAUUGCUUAACUGAAGUGCUGCUUGAUUGAAAUCACCCUCACAUAAAACCAAUCAUUCUAGACAUUCAAGAACCUGAAGUACGAGUAUCUCCAUGGCCUCACAAAAAUCAGACUGCCACAAACUCCCCAAAAUCCAACAACAAAGCCAAGCGCCAUGCUGACGUAAAAUCCCCAUGUUAUAGGCUCAUCCUUUUCUUCUUCGUUGCUCGAGAUCGGAGUUUCGUGUUGAUCACCACACAUCUUUGGAAGUGGAGGUCCGCACAGCUGAGGAUUUCCAGCAUAAUCAGAGGGAUCAAAACUUUGGAGCUGAGUGCCAGUUGGAAUUUUGCCAAUAAAGUUGUUGUAUGACAAGUCUAAGACACUAAGACCGUAUAUCUGAGCAAGGCUUGUUGGAAUUCUGCCAUCUAUCUGGUUUCUUGACAAAUCAAGGGCAUCCAAUGAUUGCAACUUUCCAAUCUUUGCAGGUAACUCACCUGUCAAUCCGUUUCUCGACAGGUUUAAAGAAACUAAACCAACAAGAUCCGUGAUUUCACUUGGAAUCUCCCCCGUUAAUCUAUUACUCGAGAAAUCAAUUCUCUUCACAAGUCCCAAAGUGUUUUUGUACGAGUACAUUCUUCCCUUCCAUAUAAAUGUUGCAUCAUCCAUAUAAUUAAGCGUAUAGAUAGUAUCAUCUCUUGUGUACAAAUGUCGAAGGGUCGGAGAUGAGUUUCCCUUCUGUGCCAAAACAGUAAAAUUGCUGAGGCAUUUUGGUAUUGUUCCAGAGAUGUUAUUCGCAGACACAUCCAAGUUUUGAAUGUUUGUUAGACAACAUAGUUCAGAUGGCAUGCUUCCGUUGAAGUUAUUAGAGGAAAGCAUCAGGACAACCAAUUUCUGAAGGCUAACCCCUAACCAUUUUGGAAUGGGUCCUGAUAAUUGAUUGUAUCCAACAUCAAGAACUUUUUUUAAACUGGUGCAAUUCUUGAAGGAUGAAGGAAACUCGCCAACAAAUCUGUUGCUUCUUAAUUUUAAUGUUUCCAUGCGAUAUAGUGAGCCCACCGUGGAUGGAAUUUUGCCGGAAAAAGCAUUGUAACUCAAAUCAAGCAUGACUAGAUGGUCAAAAUGUGUCCAGCAUUGCGGAAGCUCUCCGGAGAGAUUGUUGUUUGAGAGAUUAAGAAACAUUAAACUCUCGUAUGCUUCACACAAGAUAGAAAUUGACCCUGAAAUGUUGUUAUCAGAGAGAUCCAAAUAUGACGCAUGCGAUAGAGUUGAGGGAAUUGGACCUUCGAUUUGGUUCGAACUCAAAUAUAUUUGAGGGUAAUAUGUAAAAUUCAUUGUCGAACUUGCAAACAUUUCUCCAAUUUUGGUUAUUGGAAAGAACGAUAAAUCUCGCGUAACGAGUCGUACCCCAAAACCAGCUUGGAAGGAUAUCCACAAUUCCAGCAUCAGAAAUAUCGAGGAAUGAAUACUCAUUCUGAGUUUGAAGCCAUUUUGGAAAAUACGGACCCAUUUUGCAAGACCCCAAAGCUAUAGACAUCAAUUUAAAUGGAGGAACCCAAUUAGAAUUGAAGCUUAAAACUAGCGAGUUAGAGGACAAAUCCAAAACCUGUAAUCUGGAGAGUUGAGAGAAAUGGGUUUCCGAAACCACACCUUCCAGAUCAUUCGUACCUAAGUCCAUAUACUCCAGAUUAGACAGUUGCCCAAUACUUUCAGGUAUUGUUCCACUCAAUUGAUUUCUAUAGAGAGAUAAUCCUUUCAACGAUGAAAAAGUUUGUAAGAUUAGGAAUUGAUCCAGAAAGAUGAUUGUCAUAGAGGUACAGAGACUCUAAUGAGUUUUGAACACAUGUAGACAACAUUUGAACAAACUCGGAAAACUGUCCACUCAGACUAUUAUUGCCAAGGUCCAGUGAUUAAGCUGGAAAAAGAAUGCGGAUUCACCGCGUCAAAUUUGUUAUCAGAGAGAGAUAGAUAGACAAGAGAGGUCAAGUUUUCAAUGACACUGGGAAUUAAACCAGUUAAACUACUGUUAUCGAGGCCAAGAAAGACAAGGCUAGCAUUGUAGUUUGACAACCAUAAAUAUAUUGAAGGAGAAGUGCAUUGGUUGUCAGAGAGGUCAACAGAAGCAAGAGAUUUUGAAGAAUUUAUGUUAAAAAGAGUACUGGAAUGGAUUACAGGAGAAGGAAGGCCACACCCCUGUAACGUCAAGUUUGUAAGUUUAGGGAGCUUACUAACUAUUUCCAGCCAGUCAUGAGCAUUAUUGAGAUUGGUGCUACUCAGAUCCAAAUAUGUGUUAAAGAAAGAAAGAAGAGGGAGCCAUGAUUUCAGAUUUUCUACACUGUUAAAGUCAUUCCAACUGAGAUCAAGAUAUUGCAAGUGGGUAAGGUUUCCAACUUGACUUGGAAAUCGACCACCAAAAGAAGCAGAAGAGAGAUCGAGGUGUCUUAAAUUAAAAAGAGAACCAAUGAAAUAUGGAAGUCGGGUCCCAUUGAAGUUUAUCCAUGAGAGGUCCAAAUAUUUCAAACGCUGCAACUCAAUCAAUUUAGGACUCAUCUUCUUACCUUGCAAAAAAUAAUUGAUGAACUGCGGGUCUCCUUUCUGUUGAUGUGAGUAAGAUACACUCAAGGGAUACCACCCAAGAUGAAGUUGAGUAACAUGGUUGGUUCGGUUGCUGCAGUGGACGCCGACCCAUUUGCAACAAUCUUGCUUGUGUUCUUCUCUUCCCCACGAAGAGAGGAGAUUGUAGGGAUCCACGAGGCCGUGCUUGAAAGCAAGGAGUGCUUCUCUUUCCCUCUCAAAGCACCUCACCACUCCUUCCGAAGAAAUAUUUUUGAAUCCAAGGGAAAGGGAAGGGUUGACAGCACAUUGCAGUAAAGUGAACACCACAAUUAAAGCACGAAAGAGUUUCUUCAAGCACCUGAUUCUGUCACCCUCCAUCUUAAUUCAACUAAAUCAACCAAGAGACAAUUGAAGCACGAAAGAGUUUCUUUAGGAUUUUGAUUUUGGAGCAAAAGGAAAGCUGCGCAAGUGUAGUUCAAAAUGAACGGAGAAAAGUAUAAAUAAAAUAUAUCCAAUAAUUGUGAAAAAUAUUUAUACAAGAAAGAUUAUAUUCAAACAACCCAAAUUACUGCUUUUCUCACUUUUUUAAUUUUUUAAUAUUUUCUACACACCAUUAUAAUUUGAUAGAAAAAUAUUAAAAAAUUAAAAGACACUAGUUGAUACUUAAUUUAAGGCACUAGUUGAUACUUUAUUUCCCACCUCCUUAAUUUAAGGCACUAGUUGAUACUUUAUUUCCCACCUUCUCCUUGAUUUAAGGCCUUUGUUUCGCACUUGUUGAUGCUUUAUUUCUCACCUUCUGUUUCCCACUUGUUCAUACUUUGUUUCCCCAACUUCUACGUAAUGAUGAAUAGUAAAGAAUAAAUGGACAAGAUUGAAAAUAGACUAUUCAAUACUUGUGGAAAUCUUUAUACAAUAAAAUAACCAAUGGUUCUCCUUCUCCAAUGCAUUUGUCAUUUCAUCUCAAACACGCACAAUCAAAAGUGGGGCUACAAGUAGCUAUAAGAGGCAAUACAAUUGGUGACCAAAACAUAGGCAUAUCUUUGUACGAGCAUUAAAGUUUCCACUAUUAAAGUGGGAAUUGCAGAAAAUCAUGAAAAGAUCACUGUAGCCCUUCGUCCGAAAACCUCCGCCUUGUAGAUGUGGGGAGCGGUGCGGGUCUUCCGGGUUUGAUCUUAGCCAUUGCUUGCCCAGGUAAGUAAAGACUGUGCAUAUUUGGUACAUAUGAACAGGAGGAAAUUAGGAAUGCAGAAAAAGCAAUUCAGAUUUUGCGUGCCUCAGCCUCCAAGGCUCGCCUUGGCGAGUUUUCACCCAAUCCCAUUAGGCAAAAGCGUUAUCACUCCCGCCCUACCUCCAAAACCAAAGAUCAAAAGUUCACAGUAUUUCGUGUCUAGCUAGCCUUUACCAGUGCUUGUUUCAUGUGACACACUUUGUGAUAUUCCAUUACCAUCCAAAGCAUAACUUAUUUUGUCAUCCAUUUUAUUUGAAUGAAUUGCGAAACGUAAAUAAAACCGAAUGUAUACUUCAUACAUCUAUUUUUACGUGACAAGAGAGAUAAUUAUACAGAAUUCUAUCUAAUUUCAUGUAACUUAAAUAUAUACUCGAUUUUAUGUAAAUUUUAACUCAAUAUACACCCCAUUUUAUGUAAGUUAAGAUGAUAAUUAUGGCCUAGCAGUUUAAUCUGUCAUAAAACACCCAUAUUUUCACCAGCGUUAAUGCAUUAGGCAAUAAAGUUAGUUAUUAACCAAUAAAAGAAGAAAAAGAAAAAGGGGUUCGUGAGAGGCAGGAGCUGCUAUACCUGCAACAGGGAAAAAAGUGUUUUUUAUUCCCUUGAAACCUGUUGAUCUCUCAACUCUGCGUAUCAUCAUUACAUUGUGGAAGUGGGUUGACACCGCCCUUGUUGCAAAAAUAGUAUAAACAAUCGAACAUUAGGCUGACAACAGAGCAUGCACAUUGCACACACUUUUGUUCUCGGUAUAAAUUGUGUAGGGAUGCCCAACAAUUCAUAAGACAACACACCCACAGCAGGAAGUUGGUCUCUACAAUGUUUAAUCCGUUGCAGAUAUAAAUCAAUAGAUUCUUGUCCCUUUUUGAUAUUCUGUAAAUCAAUUUUCAUUUGAACAAUACUGGUUCUUGUCAUAUUAGAGAAUCUUUCUUUGAGAUUAGUCCACAUUUCUCUAGAAGUUUGACAACCAAUAACAGAGAGGAUAGAGCAUCAGUUGAUAAUGUGUUAGUGAUAAGAGUCAUUAAAGCUUUGUCAUGAAUCUUCCAAACCUUAAAAGCAUCAGCAAUCACUGGUAGAUUUUCAACAGUCUCAUCUGCAGAAUCAGACUCUACAUAUUUUGUUUGGACAAGGUAUGGAACCAGUAACAAACCCAAGAAUUCCGUAUCCAUCUAACAAGAGUUCCAUUUGAAAAUUCCAUGUAACAUAAUUGGAAUCAUCAAGUUUUACAGUAAUAAUGUUGAAUCAUCAAGUUUUACAGUCAUAGUGUUUCCAACACUGGGAAUCAACGAAGAGAUCGAUGAUUGAGUAAGAGCUAACUGAGCAACAAUAACCAUUUUUAUAUGAACACACCAAAUCAACUAGAAAUUCUAGCAACAGACAAAAUCAUCAACUUUGCAAGAAUCAACACAUCGACAAUCGAAGAUGAACAAAUCAAGAAUCAACAGUAAUACACCACAAAUCCGUCAAAUAGCAACACGAUCUUCACCAAAGAAAGCAAGAAUCAAAGAAUGAAUCACUGACUUACAGAAAACCCCAAAGAAAUUAAGGGUUACCGACUUUGUGCACUGACGUUAGCUUUAACGAGUGAACAACAGCAACGAGCGAUAGAGACACCAACGAGAAAUGCUAGCGGAAGCACAAGGAUCGUCGUCAAUCGAUAAGAGUUACCUGUCGUCGGCUAAUGAGUUCAUAUUAUUGUUUGGAGCAUAAAGUAAUCAAACGGUAGAAUUUUUGAGUGAUUCCAAUUGGAGUGGGUUCGUGAGUCAGUCAAGAAGGUUGUGUCAAAAUUUCAUAAAUCCCAAAGCAUCUGAUCGUGGCGAAUUAAUUUAUGGCCAGCACGCAAUGCUGGCAGAUUGGGCUACAGAGCUUGUUUGCAAGUUUUGGGCUCGAAGAUGCUGGAUUUUGGAGGGUUGUUCUUGGAACUUGAAGAGGAGGUCCUGAUCUUUAAUUUGACUCGUUUUGGAGCCCUGAAGGUCCAGAAACGUGGCUUCUUUUUUGAUAGACAAAUUUCCUUGUCAUAAUAGGAAUGUAAUUUUUAGUUAUCCUUUUAUUAUUUUAUUUCCUAGUUUUUAGAAAACAUUUUCCUUUGAGGGUUUUAAUUAGGAGUAGUAUAAAUAAGGCUUUUUAGCCAUUGGGAGAGACACAACAUUGGAGAGGGAAACGCACACACUACUCUAGAGAGUUUUUGAAGUUUAUUUUCAAGGUGUUAUCUAUCCAUGUUUUUAAUACUAUUUUAUUUUAUGAUUGUUAAUAACUAAUUUUCGUUUGCUAAGGUGAUGCCAAGUCUUAGCAUGAAUAUGUAGUUUUUAUUUAAUUGCUUAUGAUAUUAUACAUGCAUACUUUGAAUUAUUAAUCACUGUGUUUUAAACUGUCUUUGUAUCUUAAUGAUUCGCGACCAUUAAGAUGUGAUAAGUAAUUGGAUGCAAUUCGGUCGGAAUGCCACCAGAGGAUUGAGUAUUGCAUUUUGUGAUUAAUAGUUGUAAGUUUACCUAGGGCGAAUGCCACGUCUUAGGGGUUGCAUGAUUUUUCAAAGAGUUUUCACAAAGCAUAAUGAGUCAUGCAUAUUUAUAUUUGAUCUGAAUGGCACAGACAUAUUGCAUGUUUGAUAUAGGUUCUAGCUUGAAUGUCACAAGUAAAAUAUGCACAAGGAAAACUUAAUCUUCAAAGUUGCAUGGGUAAUUCAUAAGUAAUUGAUAAAUCUACAUAUGAUUAUUAAGGGGACGGCGGAACCCUAUCCCUUUUAUAAUUUGGUUUUCAAAACUAUUUUCUUUUGUUUCUUUACUUUGCCAAUUUCUUUAAUUGUUUUUAAUUAAAUUCGUUUUUAAUAUUUUAGGUCAUAAAAUCAACAUUUUCCGGUCUUUGUUUUCAAAUAAUUAGCUAAGAAUUAGUUUAAAUACAAAUUAUUCAUUCAAUCAUUUCGGAAAACGAUUUUACUUGGGCUGCUAUACUACGACUACCUUAUACUCUUGCAAGUAUUUUUAUCCCUACUUUUGCAGAUGAUAAAAAUCUCUAUCAUCGGCGAAGAUACCAUGUUAACAAAACUUACAGAGAUUUAGAGAGGGAAAACAACUUUUCAAUAUUUCACUGUAUUAACUUCAGAAUUGUUACAAUACACGUGUCACAUGGCACACAUCUAAUACAUAACAUUUGGCAUAAUCCUAAGCUAACCUCUAUGGUCUAACAGUUUUAACUUUUAAAUUGCACAGAAGGAUAGAUGCUUGAACUUAUAUAAUAGUACAAUGUUAGAGAGACAAAAUUGAUAAGGAUUUUUAUUACAAAUGGUCCAAUCGAAAUGGUUUUUGAAUUAAAAAAAUCAAUUAAUGCCAUCUCUAAAUAUUAGUGUCACAAAUCAAUAUUGUCAUUAUGUUUAGAUUUCGUUAAAAUUUCUGUUAAGAUGUUUAUGUGGCACACAUGUGAGCCCACCACAUAUAACAUGACCCACGUGUAAUUUGCCAAAAAUUGUUUACAAAUUUAAACAUAUUUCAAAACAAAAAUAAAUAAAUAAAUAAAGUAAAAAAAAAAAAGAAAAAGAAAGAAAAACUCAUCGUCAUCCUCAUUCCUCCCAAAAAAAGGACGAAUCAUCAUCAUCAUCAUGUUCCAUGACUCCUUGGAUACCAACCUUCAGCCCAGAAAAUGGAGAAACCCCAGCCGCAUCUUCCUCUCCUACCCCGCCCCCAUCAGCCGCAUCCCUCAUCCCCCAACCUCCACCUCUCACCAAAACGUGAUUCCCAAAUCCACAUCGACUCGCCUCCAUUUCGACCGGCUACCCCGCCCCAAGCUCUCCUUCGCUCCAUUUUUUUUAUAAGAAAACUAAUGAAAAGGGCUUGAAAACUUUGAGUUUUAAUGAUAAGGAUAAAAUAAAGGGUAAAAUAAAUAGUACCAGGAUUGACUUUUUAGUGUAAAAAUGUGGUUUUUCGUUAAAGUGAACAGUACCAAGUGUUUUUUGUUAAAGUUCUUUUUUUUUUAUAAUCCAUGUGGCACCUGACUAUUGAACAUAUUGGGUCCACAUGUGUGCCACAUAGGCAUACUAACAUAAAUUGACGACACUGAUUAAUUUUCUAAUUCAAUGACAUCCUGACUGAGUGGGUUAAUUUCAUAGGAAUUGGAUCCCCUCCUGAGCAAAUGGUGGGGAUCUUCAUGACCCACUAAUAGAGACCGUUGGAUACAAUUAUUAUAACUUUAGAUGGACCCCCUGUUUGUAGCUCCAACGGUCUAUAUUAUACUAGCAAAAGCCCUGAGAAAUAUACUUUAUAUAUAUUUUUAACUAUUUGUUUUUAGUAUUUUUAAGAGAGGAAAAAGAGAGAACGAGCGAGAGUGAGUUUACCGGGUAUUGAUAAAGUAACAUAACUGUAAGAUUUUAAAAAAAAAGGUAAAACUUUGUUUGUACAAAAUUACUUUAACGCUCACAUUGUUUUUUUUCUAAUGUUUUUUUUUUCAGUUUUGUAUUAAAAGAUAUGGUAGUAAUUUUAUUAAUUUUUUUUUGUUAUAAAUAAUAUUUUAUUAAUAGAUAGUUUAGAUUUCUCAAAGUUUGAAUCUGGUAAAUUUGCCAUCUUCUACUUUCUUCCCCUCCCAACAAUGAAAAACCCUAAAAAACCGAAAGGCUGGUGAGGAGGACGACCAUGGUGGCCGCUGCAUUGCUGCUUGCUUCCUCUUUACUGCUGAUUACGGCCCUGAGCCCAACGCUCUCGAUCCUGUAAGUUCCUGUUUCUUCCCACAAUUUCAUCUUCAUCAGAAAUCAAACUUUGAUCUUGUUACAAAAAGGGCAGCGAGAAAAUCAAAACUUAAUCUCUUGGUUCACAAUUUAAUUUCUCAGAUCUGCAAUUCGAGCUCACAAAUUUUGGGGUCUUUCCAUUUCGUGUUCGAUUUACAAUUGUUAGCUGUAGAAUGAAUGUGGGUUGUGUAACUGGACUAGUUUGGUAUACUUUACUUUCGCUUUUCAACGAUUUUGUUCAUGUCUUUUUAGCAAAAUGCUAAUGCGAGUGAGGUUUUGGUUAGUUUUCUCUGCUUGUGUAGUUACCACUCUGUAAUUACAAAUGUUUUGGUAUUUGAUUGUUUACGACGAAGCCAAGGUUGCGAUUGUAAAAAGCUGCAGAAAAUGUGAUUGAGGAAUGCUCUUGGACUGCUAUACUGUGUAGAUUGUUGAGCACUUUCUUUUUUCUUCCCUGAAUGUAGAGAGGAGCAUUUUUAAUCAGUUAGGAAAGACGUAUUUUGCGAAAAUUGGUAGUUUAAGGUACCUUAAAGUACCUGAACCUAGUAACUCUACUUGCAUGACCAAUAACAAGAACAAAACUGAAAAGAAAAAAAAACUUGGUAAAUCCUUGAUUGCUGUUUUAUCUGCAUUUGUUAUCGUCGCUUACAGUUUUCUUUCGCUUGCAGUUCAUUGAUGCUGAAACAAUGGUUUCUCCAACAAUUUUUGCCCAUCGUAGUUUAUCUUAUCUCAUGAGUGACAAGCCUCAGGAACCUCUCAACGAUGCAAUGCAAGCACAAGUAGUUUCCCCAGUUUGGCACAUUGUAUCUUAUCUUCAGGGUGCUGCCCUUUUGGCCAUUCAGAUGCUGACAGAUUCUUGCUUGGAAGGACAGCUUUCUAAUGAUGAUGGUAC
rnacentral:lncRNA from 1 species